rnacentral:lncRNA from 1 species
ACUGAUAAGUUAGCUAUCAUUUUUGUUGAUCAAAUUGUCCGCUACAAAACUGAAGGGAAAAGCUGGCAGCUCCUCCCUUCCUCUCCACUGUUCACCCAGCUUCAAGAUGAUGUGUUUUAACCCGAGCUGCAGCCUCAUAUAACAGCUGCCACAUGUGCUUCUUCUCAUUCCCAGAUUCAAACAUUGCUUUGCUUUCUUCUCCCAGGAAUUCCUGACUCUGUUUGAAGAGAAAUUCUAAGUUUACUCAAUUCUAUUCAAAUUCAAUUAUAGCUGACUCGGUGAAUGAAUUGUCGCUUGGUAAAAUCUUGAGGCUAGGAUUUGAUCACGCCUUUGCAUAUGACUUCAGCAUAACAACUUUCAGAAUGGAGAAUAGCGUGAGAUAUACGUCAUCAAUGACAAGUUUAUAUACAAUUUUCAACGGUGAAGACAAGAGCUGCCAGACCAGAACAUUAUUUGAUAUUUACACUGCAGAUAACGAAUUAAUAUACAAGUACAUGGAAAGUCUAUAUUGACAGCUGAAGGAGCUUAUACUUGUUGAGCUUCCAGACAGUGUGUCCUGGUCAUAUUUUCCAGAAUUAUGAGAAGUGCUUCAGAAUCAAAUGUCACCCUUGAGAGCCCAGACUUUAAUAUAAACUGCUAUUGCUACAAAUAAUUUUUAUGGAAUGCGACUUCUUUCGACUAGAAAAUAAUCAACUCAUUGAUUAUUAUCAAAGCGUAGUUACAACCACACAGAGACAAACUUGAAUUCAGGAGUCAAUGCACACGUGGAAGAGUAUUGACUAUGAUGUCAAAUAAUUACUCCCUCUGUCCCAAAUUAACUGCUCAGUUUUGACUUUUUUAAGUCAAAUUGAUUAUUUUUAGAAUUAAUAAUUAAGUAUAUAUAAAUAUAUUUCUAAAAUUAUAAAAUUAGGAUUAGUAAUAAAUUGUAUAUACUUUCUUUUGGUUAUAAUCUCUUCACCUAUAUUUUAGCAAAAAUAGUAAAAAGAUUAGCUUUAAAAAUGGUCAAUUUGACUUUAAAAAGUCAAAAUUGAGCAAUUAAUUUGGGACGGAUGGAGUAUUUACUAGACCAAUCAAGCAUUAAAGAUUCAUUACCCGAUUUUACUCUGGUGUUACCAUUAUGAGUAAAUGUUAAUAUCACACACUUACUACCAGUUUCUCACUACCAAGAACUAAUAAAGGAUAUUAUUUUGGUGACAACUCUAGAAUACAAAUAAUGAACUUGUUUAUUUUACAAAUAAAGUUUAAUAUAAAUAGGGGGGAAAGUAAAAACAAUAGAAAAGGCCCCUCGAGGGGAAAACAUUAUCAUUGCCAAUGACAAAGGCUGUGAAAUGGUUAUUAAAUUUCCCAAACAGAAUGUUAAUCAAGCUAGGUUAACCUCAUUUUGGACAAAUAUAGGGAAAUUUUCUGCUAAUAUUCAUCAAAAUAGAGCAGCAUAAGUAAUCAUAAAUAACAAAAUCUCGAAAUAAAUCAUCAACAAUUUUGUAUGUAUAUGUAUGUACGUACGUACCUUUGCCACAAACCUCUCUCAACCUAGAAUCUUCUUGCUCCAUAUAUAACAAUGCCUGUCAUUGCCAAUAAUAAUAAACAGAACAGGAGUGCUUCUGGGUGUUCCAAACCAGAUAAAUAAAAGUUGGAUAAUAAUUUCUAAAUUUUCUUUUUCAAUUUUUCUCUUACCUUUUCUGAU